AACGUUCACACGACGUUCGGAUAUUGGGCGUAAGAGCUCGUAGGCGGUUUGUCGCGUCUGCUGUGAAAGACCGGGGCUCAACUCCGGUUCUGCAGUGGGUACGGGCAGACUAGAGUGCAGUAGGGGAGACUGGAAUUCCUGGUGUAGCGGUGAAAUGCGCAGAUAUCAGGAGGAACACCGAUGGCGAAGGCAGGUCUCUGGGCUGUAACUGACGCUGAGGAGCGAAAGCAUGGGGAGCGAACAGGAUUAGAUACCCUGGUAGUCCAUGCCGUAAACGUUGGGCACUAGGUGUGGGGGACAUUCCACGUUUUCCGCGCCGUAGCUAACGCAUUAAGUGCCCCGCCUGGGGAGUACGGCCGCAAGGCUAAAACUCAAAGGAAUUGACGGGGGCCCGCACAAGCGGCGGAGCAUGCGGAUUAAUUCGAUGCAACGCGAAGAACCUUACCAAGGCUUGACAUGAACCGGUAAUACCUGGAAACAGGUGCCCCGCUUGCGGUCGGUUUACAGGUGGUGCAUGGUUGUCGUCAGCUCGUGUCGUGAGAUGUUGGGUUAAGUCCCGCAACGAGCGCAACCCUCGUUCUAUGUUGCCAGCGGUUCGGCCGGGGACUCAUAGGAGACUGCCGGGGUCAACUCGGAGGAAGGUGGGGACGACGUCAAAUCAUCAUGCCCCUUAUGUCUUGGGCUUCACGCAUGCUACAAUGGCCGGUACAAAGGGUUGCGAUACUGUGAGGUGGAGCUAAUCCCAAAAAGCCGGUCUCAGUUCGGAUUGGGGUCUGCAACUCGACCCCAUGAAGUCGGAGUCGCUAGUAAUCGCAGAUCAGCAACGCUGCGGUGAAUACGUUCCCGGGCCUUGUACACACCGCCCGUCAAGUCACGAAAGUUGGUAACACCCGAAGCCGGUGGGCCUAACCCUUGUGGGGGGAGCCGUCGAAGGUGGGACCGGCGAUUGGGACUAAGUCGUACCAAGGUAACC
rnacentral:rRNA from 1 species